rnacentral:rRNA from 1 species
GACGAACCGUGCGAACGUUAUUCGGAAUCACUGGGCUUAAAGCGCGUGUAGGCGGCCCGGCGCGUCGGAUGCUGAAAUCCCCCGGCUCAACCGGGGAAGGGGCGCCGAUACGGCCGGGCUGGAGGGGGGUAGGGGGCGCUGGAACUCACGGUGGAGCGGUGAAAUGCGUAGAGAUGUGGAGGAACACCGAUGGCGAAGGCAGCCCCCUGGGCCAAAACUGACGCUCAGGCACGAAAGCGUGGGGAGCAAACAGG